UGGCCGCAUUGGGGCGCAGUGUGACUUGGGGGUAUGCAGUGUGUGGUGGGGACGUGUCGCUAGUACCAAGACAGACAUAUACUGUACAAGAUUAUAGUGACUGGUUUGUUCUAUCUCGCGGUCAGAGACGGACAUUACGUAAUGGUCACUGUUGAGAUGGUGUAGUCAGAUAAAGGACUCUUCCGUGGGACUUCUGUGUCGUAACGAGCCUUAUUAUCAGUGUGUUCUGUGCUGUGCUGUGCUGCUGACAAAGGUUGAGACAAAACUUCUCUCCGCCACUCGCAGUCCAGUCCACUCCCGGUCAGAGGUCAUAGUGAACGUGUGGUCUCUGUUGCAAGUGACACAGAGCGACGCUUGGGAGGGCACGGGGAGGGGCGGCGCGCGUGACGAGACCCCACGCCCAUUGUUUCGCAGGACACAAGAUGAAAGCCUCACACGGGGCGCCGAAUCUACAUGUGACUGAGAGCCUUUCAACAGUGAGAUAGAACAGCAGUGACGGCUGAGAUGAAGGUGCGAUGGGAGGGAAAGUUUGAUGCUUUAACCGAGAAACAGAAGAACAACCACCAAGUCUUCGCCCAACAACCCCUCCUAUGCCUACAACUCACCGAGAUUAAGAGAAGUGUAGUAGUCUAUUGAUCUUGCAAUUCACGAGAGUGGAGAAGAAGCACACGCAGCCUCACCCCAUUCUACUACUACUACUGCUACUACUACUACUACUACUGCUACUACUACUACUACUACUACUACUACUACUACUACUACUACUACUGAUGAAGUUAUGGAGGUUGGUACUCCUGCGCGUCACUGCUGCCAUCUAGAUGAGUGGGUCAAGUAGUGCCGGCAAACCGUCAGUCAGGGAAGCUGAGGACUGCGGUAGCCUGCUAAUUAAGUCACUUCAAGGGAAGAGCCGCAAGAGGAAGGCUGGCGAGGCUCCUGCAAAAUCCGAGCUGACAGACAUGAUGAGUGAAGCCAGAGGGAGGAAAAGCAAUGGUACGUAAAAGAUGUGCUGGUGAAGAAAAGUGGUCCAUCACGAUGGAGGUCUGGUGCCACGUGUGAGGGAAAGAAGAGGAGACAAUGUGAUUGGCCGGUCAUUAGUUUGUGGGAGAGGUGGACUUCACAGCCUGCACUGCCAAGUGUUCUUUUACUCACCUCUGGUCAAGAGUUCUCUCCAGAGUGUCUCUCUAUAUUCGCAAGUUCAAGCUGAGAGGAUACUGUUUUGACACCAUGGAAGAAAUCCAGCACGAAUUGCAGAUGGUACUCAACAGGGCUUCCAGGAAAUGUACAAAGCAUGGCAGAAGCACUACUAUGCAAAGCAACUACUUUGCAGGAGAUGGCAGCGUAACUUAAAUCAGACCCUGCCUUCCCACUGGCUGACACUGCUCUUCUCUGCUGACUUGCUUAUCAAUGAUGAGCCACACCAAGAAACCUGCAGCCCCACUACAUACAAGAUGCUGAUGGCUCAUGCAGGCAUGCAUAUCAUCACAGGCUG